GGUCGAAACUGGAGCUAAAGAAGCUGUACUAAAUAUUUCACAUACAUAAUUGACAAUUAGAGGAAGUUUGGAUGGGAAGUCAUCUCGAGUCAAGUUGUGACAACGACAUGUGACAUCUUUGUGAAAGGACACUAGAACUUCUGUCACUACAUAAACUGAAAGAGUUAUUAGCAGAGUACUGAUCACUAGCCAAUUUUUUUUCCCAAGCAAAAACAUCAAAUGUAUUUGGUUAUUAAUUGGUAAUUUCUGGUUGACCUAAGGAAUUUUGGACCCUUCUUCCCUCAAGAUCAAAUCUGGGCAAGUCUAGAUGUGUGCGAACGAACUACAAGAAGUGAAAGUUGAUCAUGCUUUACUUGAACAGCCUGAGCCGAGGGCUGACUCGAGCAGUGUCGCCUGUCAGGACAUCUGUAAGGACACAGACCAUCGCAAAUUAGCCAUUUGCAGCAUCAUAUGUGGCCUCUCCUGUCUUGGAAUGAUGUCCCUUAUGUACUCCGUCAAGGCCCGAGAGACAAGAAAAAGACUUCAAAACAAAGAUUGUCCAGAAACACGAGAGAUGAUUAAGAAAUACUCAGAAAAGGCGUGUAAAUGGGGUAUUGGGUCCAUUGUAGCCUGGGUGGUUUUAAUUCUCAUCUUUCCAUUGCUGGUGGGAUUUCUGUCCUAUAUUGUAACCUUCAUAGACUGACACUGAAGAAGCUUUUCUACAGUUAAAUGAGCAACCAAAGCAAAUGAACUGUAAGAGUGCAGAAACAGACUCUUUCAUUGCUCACACUGCAUCUAGACUAUCCAAAAAGUUACUUGAUGGCAAUAGGUUGGUCAAUAAUGGUCAUUAUUUAAAUUCACUGUGGGUUUCGAAAGGUGCUUGUCCUUAGUCUGGAUCAAAGGUUCACAACGUCCUACCCAUAAUAUAAGAGGAUUCAACAGCUCAACAUUUGCAUUGCAAUUAAAUCACUGCAAUUAAGCCAAUGCAGGUAGUUCAAAAUGGUACAGCAACUUUCAGGAAUUUGUUACAUGCAUGAGAUGGAGCCAUGCAUAAAACCAUCCGUCCAGACAGAAGCUACUGCUACACUUCAGCAAGCUGGUUUUAUUUAUGCUCUUACUGCAAACUGGAAAUGAAACAUUGAGACACUCACAGAGAGCAUAACAUUCAAAUGUUGAGAUAUGGAUGUGGUUACAUUUUUAACAUUCUGUUUUUGUAAAUAAGUCGUACUGUUUCAAUACUUUGUGCUUUUGAUGUUUUGUACACUGCAUGUAUUUCAGGCUUUGUAAUAAAAUGUGUAGCAGUCAAAAUGCAUCUGCUCAUUGUAAGCGUCUUACAAACAACUCGACAAAACACUAAAAUACAAAACAGUUCAAUCGUAUUCUAUUAUAAAUACAGAACGCAGACAUCUAUCAAACAAGUUUACACUAAUCAUUCAACAUGUUCAAACACCACAAACAGUAUUAUAAAUCACUACAUCAAAGAUAAACAAGACUAAAUUAAGUGAAUGGACUAUAUUUAGAGUGCCUGAGUAAAAGCACAGAAUGCAUUAAACUUUUAAAUCCUUUAUGCUUCUCGAUGAGAAGUAUAAAGCAUAAUUUCAAACCGAACAAUGCAAACUUUCAAUGCUGUCACUUCAAAGGCCUUUGUGCCGUCUCCCUUAUAAUGAAACACACAGGGCAUCCUGAGAGUGUAUUAAUAAGGCAUUAAUUUAAACCAAAGAAGUUUAAAUGUUUUAAAAGAGGAAUAUACUGAGAGAGGAAUGGUUUACGAGUGACCUGGUGACUCUUACUUUGAAACACUUUCUGAUACGGAGAUGUGGUGAGGAGGAAUUAGAGAUAUUUUAAACAUAUGCCACAGAUUAUAGUAAACAAGUGCUUGCUUUGAAUGGUUAUAAAAAGACAAAACAGAGUUGUUUCUUGUUACAUCAGUCCAAUCUACAAAUAAACGCCAUUACCUUGCAAAAUAUAAAAAGAAAGUGAUGUAUUUUUAAGAUCUUUACAGUACAUAAGUAAUCAAAAA